UACGUAGGCAGCGAGCGUUGUUCGGAGUUACUGGGCGUAAAGAGUGCGUAGGCGGUUUUCUAAGUUUGGUGUGAAAUCUCCCGGCUCAACUGGGAGGGUGCGCCGAAGACUGGAAGGCUUGAGUAUGGGAGAGGUAAGCGGAAUUCCUGGUGUAGCGGUGAAAAUGCGUAGAUAUCAGGAGGAACACCUGCGGUGUAGACGGCUUUACUGGACCUAAACUGACGCUGAGGCACGAAAAGCGUGGGGUAGCAAACAGG
rnacentral:rRNA from 1 species